CCGAUGACAGCCCCUCAGUUUUGACCCUCUGGGACCUCCUCUUCCAUGCUUGCGUUGCGACUAUGGGCUCUCACUGGAAUAAUCAUCAAGAUUCAAGCAAUUACCCAAGCCACUUUUUCGUACAAGUCUAUAAGAGAGCAAGCUUCAAGCUCUCUCCACCCUUCCCAAAAGUUCAAUAAUCUCAAAUACCACUUGUAAAAGCCAGAAAUGGAUCUUCAGUUCAGUUCAGAAAACUGACAGCCAUAGAAACUAAGCAGAAAACGGCUAACCCAAGAACAGGUCAGGCUCUUGGAGACAUACUUCAAUGCAAACCAAAAGCUACAAGUAGACCAUAAACUUGGUGACGACUGACGAGCAGCGGCGGCGACGAGCUUGCAGCGGCGACGACGAGCUUGCAGCGGCGGCGACGAGCAGAGGGGACAGAAGAAGACAGAAGUGUGGCUGAAGGUCACGACGAGCAGCGGUGGGUUUUUGCUUUUGGCUGAAGGUCGCGACGAGCAGCGGGA
rnacentral:lncRNA from 1 species